rnacentral:rRNA from 1 species
UGGGGAAUUUUGGACAAUGGGCGAAAGCCUGAUCCAGCAAUGCCGCGUGUGUGAAGAAGGCCUUCGGGUUGUAAAGCACUUUUGUCCGGAAAGAAAAUCCUUGGCUCUAAUACAGUCGGGGGAUGACGGUACCGGAAGAAUAAGCACCGGCUAACUACGUGCCAGCAGCCGCGGUAAUACGUAGGGUGCAAGCGUUAAUCGGAAUUACUGGGCGUAAAGCGUGCGCAGGCGGUUUGCUAAGACCGAUGUGAAAUCCCCGGGCUCAACCUGGGGAACUGCAUUGGUGACUGGCAGGCUAGAGUAUGGCAGAGGGGGGUAGAAUUCCACGUGUAGCAGUGAAAUGCGUAGAGAUGUGGAGGAAUACCGAUGGCGAAGGCAGCCCCCUGGGCCAAUACUGACGCUCAUGCACGAAAAGCGUGGGGGAGCAAAACAGGAUUAGAUACCCUGGGUAGUCCACGCCCUAAAACGAUGUCAACUAGUUGUGGGGAUUCAUUUCCUUAGUAACGUAGCUAACGCGUGAAGUUGACCGCCUGGGGAGU